UCGGGAAUUUUGGGCAAUGGGCGAAAGCCUGACCCAGCAACGCCGCGUGAGGGAUGAAGUAUUUCGGUAUGUAAACCUCGAAAGAAUGGGAAGAAUAAAUGACGGUACCAUUUAUAAGCUCCGGCUAACUACGUGCCAGCAGCCGCGGUAAUACGUAGGGAGCAAGCGUUGUUCGGAUUUACUGGGCGUAAAGGGCGCGUAGGCGGCGCGGUAAGUCACUUGUGAAAUCUCUGAGCUUAACUCAGAACGGCCAAGUGAUACUGCUGUGCUAGAGUGCGGAAGAGGCAACCGGAAUUCUUGGUGUAGCAGUGAAAUGCGUAGAUAUCAAGAGGAACACCUGAGGCGAAGGCGGGUUGCUGGGCCGACACUGACGCUGAUGCGCGAAAGCCAGGGGAGCAAACG
rnacentral:rRNA from 1 species